rnacentral:rRNA from 1 species
CCUACGAUGAGCUGCAGUGGGGAAUAUUGCACACUGGGGGGAACCCUGAUGCAGCGCCGCCGCGUGGGUGAAGGAGUAUUUCGGUAUGUACAGCCCUAGCAGCAGGGAAGACCAAUGACGGUAACUGACUAAGAAGCACCGGCUAAAUACGUGACAGCAGCCGCGGUAAUACGUAUGGUGCAAGCGUUAUCCGGAUUUACUGGGUGUAAAGGGAGCGCAGGCGGCGCGUUAAGCCUGGUGUGAAAGCCCGCGGCCCAACCGCGGGACUGAAUUUGGAACGGGCGCGCUGGAGUGCCGGAGGGGUAGGCGGAAUUCCUAGUGUAGCGGUGAAAUGCGUAGAUAUUAGGAGGAACACCAGUGGCGAAGGCGGCCUACUGGACGGUGACUGACGCUGAGGCUCGAAAGCGUGGGGAGCAAACAGGAUUAGAUACCCCUGUAGUC